GGGCACAUGGUGUAGUUGGUUAUCACAUCCGCUUAGCAUAGUGCCAGCCUAUUGAAAAUGUGGGGGGUGCUGGGUUCAAUUCCCAGUGUGUCCA